ACAAUAAUGAAUUUUUUUCUUUCAUAUGAAUGAAUUGCUCGAAGAAGACAACAAAUGUACAAUUUUUUCUUCUUUCAUACAAAGGUGGAAUCUUUUUAGAGGAAUGAAGGUUUGAAGAACACCAUAAAGGUACAAGCUUUUUAUCUUCCAACUUUUGUCAAAUAUUUUCUUCUUCUACUAGAUAUAAUUUCUUUUCUGGAAGAUGGAUGAUUUGUUUGAAGAAUACAACAAAGGUUGGCUUUUUUUAGUCAUGAAGGAAGGUUUUGUGUUAGAUCGAUGAUUUGUUUCAAGAAUACAACCAAGGUUUUCUUUCAUAUGAAUGACGUACAAGUUUCUAAAUGGAUGAAGUGUUUGAAGAAUAAAACAAAGAUGAAUCAACUGUUCAAAGAAUACAACAAAGGUUGGCUUUUUUUCUGUCAUGAAGGAAGGUUUUUGCUAGAUCGAUGAUCUAUUUCAAGAAUACAACCAAGGUUUUCUUUCAUAUGAAUGUUCUACAAGUUUCUAGAUGGAUGAAGUGUUUGAAGAAUAUAACAAAGGGGAGCUGUUUUUCAUCACGGAUAGGAGAAAUGGUUUUUGGAAUCUCCAUAAAUGGGUAAUUCUUUCACUUUUUAUGUCGAAGUCUAAAUCUUGUAGUGUCUAGUUUCUUAACUCUUUCUCCAACACAAUCUUUUGAAAACAUAUUAUGUAAUCAUUCUCUUAAUUGUGAUGUCCAUCGCCUUAAGGACAUGUUACACAUGGGUUCUUAGUUCUUAUGAUUUCACACAACACAAUUUUAUAGGCUUAUUGUGUUUGAAUAUUUCAG